GGCGUAGUGCGAAGAGACGCGGUGCGCACGCGCGUGAGGGAUGUCGCGGGAUCUCUAUGAAGCACCAGAAUUAUCAGUGAAGAAUAUAUUAAAUGGCUCACGGGCUACUGUAAAGCAUAUUUCUAUCGCUUGAGAGUAAAACUGCUAGAACCAGUUCCUGUUUCUACAACAAGGUGUUCCUUUAGAGUCAAUGAGAACACACAAAACCUACAAAUUCAUGCAGGGGACAUCCUGAAGUUCUUGAAAAAGAAGAAACCUGAAGAUGCCUUCUGUGUUGUGGGAAUAACAAUGAUUGAUCUUUACCCAAGAGACUUGUGGAAUUUUGUCUUUGGACAGGCCUCUUUGACAGAUGGUAUUCCGUUUUUGGCAUUGUUGUUAGAAGCUUCUUCAACUUGAGAAUAUUUGAAGAUGUUAAAAGAGGGAAAAAAAUUCCAACCAAGAAUCAUAUUGAUAUUUAAAACUAUAGUAUUUUCAGUUGAGACAUUAUGCCAUAAUGGGAAGUGUGCUGUUGGUAGAUUGUGAUAAUCUAGGUUCUGGUUGGCCACUCACUACCUACAGGACCUUAAAGGCACUGGUGAGGUGGAUUGAUGAUGAAUCUUCUGGCACACCUGGAGCAACUCCAGAACACAGUCGUGAGGAUAAUGGGAAUUUACUGAAACCCGUGGAAGGAAGCCUUUAAGGAAUGGAAAGAGUGGAUAAUAAAAUGCCUGACUGUUCUCCAAAAAUAAGGACCUUCAAAUAGGAGUGAUUGAAAUAAAUGACUACUUGCAUGUUAUGCUUUCAUUUGGGUGGAAUACUUCAUCAGAAUAAACUAUUGAUCUUGUGCUGUGUCAAAGUAACAGACUAGAACCUUCUUUCAAGUACCUGAAUUGAAAUGAAACUCAUUUUGAAUAAUAAAAACUCUAGAAACUCUUUAUCUUC
ensembl:lncRNA AMZ2P1 AMZ2 pseudogene 1